CUGAGCUGAUUAUCAGCAAGAUCCAGCCAAUAAAGAUUUAGCAUGUUACCGAUUGUAGCCGGCACUGGUCCUGUAAAAUUGUUUUCAUUCAGAGAUCUGCAAGGCGUAAAUAUUCAUCAAUCAGUAGGUCAACUGAAGUAGGCAGAUAUGAUUAACAGAGAAUCAGAAAACUAAAUGCAACCGAGGCCAGCUCCUUGUGUACAAGAUAUUAAGUGGCACAGCAUGCAGGACUAAGGCAUAGUCUCUACAAACAACACAAGUCCUCCCAGCACGUUUUGUCCUCACUCAUGGAGCAUGUUUCACAUUGGAGAACCAUAGCAUACAACUUUUAAUCAAGAAUGCAGCCUUGUACCUGGGUGUUAGACUAAAAUUGUUCGGCUUAUCUACCCGUCAAAACAACCACUAGUUACAAGAUGUAUGUUUAGACUUCGUCAAACUUUACACAAGAUAAGAUCCAUACUAGAUAUCUAGAAUUUUGUUGUUCUGA